UACAGAGGUCUCAAGCGUUGUUCGGAUUCAUUGGGCGUAAAGGGUGUGUAGGUGGCGCCGUAAGUCGGGUGUGAAAUUUCGGAGCUUAACUCCGAAACUGCAUUCGAUACUGCGGUGCUUGAGGACUGGAGAGGAGACUGGAAUUCAUGGUGUAGCAGUGAAAUGCGUAGAGAUCAUGAGGAAGACCAGUGGCGAAGGCGGGUCUCUGGGCAUUAACUGACGCUGAGGAGCGAAAGCAUGGGGGAGCGAACAGG
rnacentral:rRNA from 1 species